UACGUAUGGUGCAAGCGUUAUCCGGAUUUACUGGGUGUAUAGGGAGCGCAGGCGGCGCGUUAAGCCUGGUGUGAAAGCCCGCGGCCCAACCGCGGGACUGCAUUGGGAACUGGCGCGCUGGAGUGCCGGAGGGGUAGGCGGAAUUCCUAGUGUAGCGGUGAAAUGCGUAGAUAUUAGGAGGAACACCAGUGGCGAAGGCGGCCUACUGGACGGUGACUGACGCUGAGGCUCGAAAGCGUGGGGAGCAAACAGG
rnacentral:rRNA from 1 species